rnacentral:rRNA from 1 species
GAUGAAUGCUGGCGGCGUGCCUAAUACAUGCAAGUCGAGCGAACAGACGAGAAGCUUGCUCCUCUGACGUUAGCGGCGGACGGGUGAGUAACACGUGGAUAACCUACCUAUAAGACUGGGAUAACUUCGGGAAACCGGAGCUAAUACCGGAUAAUAUAUUGAACCGCAUGGUUCAAUAGUGAAAGACGGUUUUGCUGUCACUUAUAGAUGGAUCCGCGCCGCAUUAGCUAGUUGGUAAGGUAACGGCUUACCAAGGCGACGAUGCGUAGCCGACCUGAGAGGGUGAUCGGCCACACUGGAACUGAGACACGGUCCAGACUCCUACGGGAGGCAGCAGUAGGGAAUCUUCCGCAAUGGGCGAAAGCCUGACGGAGCAACGCCGCGUGAGUGAUGAAGGUCUUCGGAUCGUAAAACUCUGUUAUUAGGGAAGAACAAAUGUGUAAGUAACUAUGCACGUCUUGACGGUACCUAAUCAGAAAGCCACGGCUAACUACGUG